rnacentral:rRNA from 1 species
GCUUGCUCCCUGAUGUUAGCGGCGGACGGGUGAGUAACACGUGGGUAACCUGCCUGUAAGACUGGGAUAACUCCGGGAAACCGGGGCUAAUACCGGAUGCUUGUUUGAACCGCAUGGUUCAGACAUAAAAGGUGGCUUCGGCUACCACUUACAGAUGGACCCGCGGCGCAUUAGCUAGUUGGUGAGGUAACGGCUCACCAAGGCAACGAUGCGUAGCCGACCUGAGAGGGUGAUCGGCCACACUGGGACUGAGACACGGCCCAGACUCCUACGGGAGGCAGCAGUAGGGAAUCUUCCGCAAUGGACGAAAGUCUGACGGAGCAACGCCGCGUGAGUGAUGAAGGUUUUCGGAUCGUAAAGCUCUGUUGUUAGGGAAGAACAAGUGCCGUUCAAAUAGGGCGGCACCUUGACGGUACCUAACCAGAAAGCCACGGCUAACUACGUGCCAGCAGCCGCGGUAAUACGUAGGUGGCAAGCGUUGUCCGGAAUUAUUGGGCGUAAAGGGCUCGCAGGCGGUUUCUUAAGUCUGAUGUGAAAGCCCCCGGCUCAACCGGGGAGGGUCAUUGGAAACUGGGGAACUUGAGUGCAGAAGAGGAGAGUGGAAUUCCACGUGUAGCGGUGAAAUGCGUAGAGAUGUGGAGGAACACCAGUGGCGAAGGCGACU